GUAUAUAGUUUUUGUUUUGCGUCAAGGGACGAGGUUGUUUAACGCCUCAGCCCACAAGCCGACUUUGUUACAUUCUAUGGUCUGUAUUGGUUGGGGGUGUGAAAUACAUAAUCCGAAGCCUUCCCCUCUUCGAAAAGACCCGGAGAGAGAAAGAGGUUUUUUUACGCCCUCUCUCUCUGUCGUUCCUUCUCGCUUCGGUUUGUCGGCAAGCGGACUACAAAGGUGCACAGGUGUUGAAUUGUGGAAAAGCGCACGACGGCGGGCACAUGCCCCGAAAGGCCAGCUCAACCGAAGACGUUCGUUUAAUUCGUUAAUGAUCCUUCCGCAGGUUCACCUACGGAAA
rnacentral:misc_RNA from 1 species